GACGAACGCUGGCGGCGUGCUUAACACAUGCAAGUCGAACGGAAAGGCCCUUCGGGGUACUCGAGUGGCGAACGGGUGAGUAACACGUGGGUGAUCUGCCCUGCACUUUGGGAUAAGCCUGGGAAACUGGGUCUAAUACCGAAUAGGACCACGCGCUUCAUGGUGUGUGGUGGAAAGCUUUUGCGGUGUGGGAUGGGCCCGCGGCCUAUCAGCUUGUUGGUGGGGUAAUGGCCUACCAAGGCGACGACGGGUAGCCGGCCUGAGAGGGUGACCGGCCACACUGGGACUGAGAUACGGCCCAGACUCCUACGGGAGGCAGCAGUGGGGAAUAUUGCACAAUGGGCGCAAGCCUGAUGCUGCGACGCCGCGUGAGGGAUGACGGCCUUCGGGUUGUAAACCUCUUUCAAUAGGGACGAAGCGCAAGUGACGGUACCUAUAGAAGAAGCACCGGCCAACUACGUG
rnacentral:rRNA from 1 species